UUGGGCUGAGCCAACCAGGACUCGCAAUUCCCUUGCUCCGAGAGCUGGUGGUAUGGAGACCGGGCCAACGCUGGCUGAGUCUGGGAGGGGCGGAGAUGGAAGGGCUCGUUGCGGUGCUCUGUUCUGGCAAAGGAACUGGUGGGAAGAAGGAAGAAGGAGACAACUGAGAUGAACCUCACCUGUAUAUUGUUGGGUCACUCCUGAUUCUCCCACUCCUGCAGCGUCUGCGCAGCUUCCGGGACAUGUUUUAUUGCUCCAAUUCAACAGGAGAGAUCAACAACUGGACCCAGUUUGUGGAGACUGGAAAACAGGAUUUCCUUUUGUUUUAUGACCUCAGUUUCCACCUCCUCCACCUCUGUGGCCUCUAGUUCCUCUUUCCUUUGUCAGGGAAGGUGUCACCUAUGGGUUUCCUCCUCAAAAUUGCAAAGGAAAUUCAAGAUAUAGUUCCUUUUCAGUCUGCAUCUUGGCUUCGUGACAAAACUCAGCUAUUGUUUUGAAGAGAAAUAUGAAAUGGAAUAGUAAAAAUUGAGAUCUAUGCAAGAA